rnacentral:lncRNA from 1 species
GCAGACUAUAUAAAGACAUCUCAACAACAUAACGACCACGAGACAAUGUACAAAUACAUGGAAACAUUUUUGGGAGAAUCCGCUAAAGGAUUAUGGGAAGCCUAUAUACAUAUACACAUACACAUACAUACAGUAAAUAUUGUCAAAGAAAAAUAUACAUACUGUGAAUAAAAUAAAUAGAAAGGGAAUGCAAAUCUAAUUCUCUUUUGUUUGUAUUUACAUUGCCCUUAUAGUUACUUUGUAGUGCGAACACUUCUAUACAACACUUCAGCGCUUCAUUCCACUUUUAUGCUACAUUACUACUACUACGCCUCAAUCCAAAGCAAGCUGGAGUCGGCUUAUGCAUCCUCACUUCCAUGUUGCUCCAUUUUAGUCCGUCCAGUUGCAGUAUCAUAAAAACUUAGUUUCUCUAGUACUUGUGGUCAUAUUUAAGAAAAAGAUCCAUCCAAAAAGAAUGUAGCCAAAAGAAUACCAAAUGGCUUUGGUAGGUAGCUGUCGCUGCUUCUGUUGGAGUUAACUUCCUGUAAUAUGAAAUCCAAUAAGUGAGAACAAUAAAAGAUGACAAUAUGGAGCUAGAUAAAGAAGAAUCAUAAGUUACUUAUGAUAACUUCUUUCCUUUUGAAAUAACUUCCACUGAAAGAAGAAAUGGUGGCAAGGGAGUACUAACCAUUGAAAAUGUGGAAC